rnacentral:rRNA from 1 species
CGGAGGGUGCAAGCGUUAAUCGGAAUUACUGGGCGUAAAGCGUGCGCAGGCGGUUUUGUAAGACAGAUGUGAAAUCCCCGGGCUCAACCUGGGACCUGCAUUUGUGACUGCAAGGCUAGAGUACGGUAGAGGGGGAUGGAAUUCCGCGUGUAGCAGUGAAAUGCGUAGAUAUGCGGAGGAACACCGAUGGCGAAGGCAAUCCCCUGGACCUGUACUGACGCUCAUGCACGAAAGCGUGGGGAGCAAACAGGAUUAGAUACCCUGGUAGUCCACGCCCUAAACGAUGUCAACUGGUUGUUGGGUCUUUACUGACUCAGUAACGAAGCUAACGCGUGAAGUUGACCGCCUGGGGAGUACGGCCGCAAGGUUG